UCCAUUAAAACACAAGUUUCGCCCAAAAUACUAUAUGCACAAUUUGAAAAUAACCUAAUUAUGAACCACCGGAAAAAAAAAAAAAAACAAAAUCAGCACCAACAAUCAGCACACUAAAAAGCAAAGUUAACCAGAAACAAGAUCUUGAGACGCUCGAGAGGAGCAACGGUUGUCUUGGCAACUCCACCGAGAAUAAGGUGGUUUAUGGGUGUGUGUGGAUAAAGUGAAGGAGAUAAAGAAUUUGAGAGGGAAGGUAGAUGGUGAACGGCUGAUAUGUUUAAGUUAGGGUUAUUCUCUUAA
rnacentral:lncRNA from 1 species